CCUUGUAGCCAGGUCAAGGAUCCAAAAUGCAAGUUUGGCUCAUCCGAAGUGAUGCAAAGAAGUAAGGACAGAGGUGAAGCCUUUUCAGCAGAGGCAGUGAGAACAUUUCCAGAGGCCAUAAGGCAGUCAGCAGGAAGAGAUCCACUCUUCCACACAGACUAACCUACCUUCUUUUUUUCUGCACCACAGUCCAUUAGACUAUACCCACCACUGUGCUUGUGUAAUAGAAAUUAAGGCAGAUGCCACGUAUGCAAAACUGCAGAACCACCCAGAACCCAACAGGCCAAGGAAGCGGCCUGACCAGGAAGGUAGUGCCUACGCAGAUGAGACCAAAAGUGUGGGAAGGUCUUUGCCUUAUUACCACACUAAGACCUCCCUCUAAUUAGUGCCCUGGCAGAGAAGCCCAAAGUGCAUGCUCCAACUAUUCUAGAAAUUGCCGCCCCUUUCCCAGAAUUCUGAUGGCUGCACCUAUCUCUUACCUCGUAAAAGUUUCUGGCCUCCCUUCCCUCUGGGAGAAGGAGUCUUUAGAGCCAGCACCUGCAAUGAAAGGACCCAACUGAGUUCUGUUUGAUCUGAGAGGCUUGGUAACCGUGACAGUGAAGAAGGCUCCUAAGUAUGAUUUGUACCACAUAGUACUUGAAUUCAGACCUUUUAUUGCUCAAGCUUCCUAGGGAAUUUGAGAUUAAACUGCAGUUCUUAUUCUGUUGUUUUCUAAAUAC
ensembl:lncRNA